CCUACGGGUGGCAACAGUGGGGGAUAUUGCACAAUGGGGGAAACCCUGAUGCAGCGACGCCGCGUGUGGGAAGACGGUCCUCUGGAUUGUAAACCACUGUCCCCAGGGACGAAGAUGACGGUACCUGGGGAGGAAGCUCCGGCUAACUACGUGCCAGCAGCCGCGGUAUUACGUAGGGAGCGAGCGUUGUCCGGAAUUACUGGGUGAAAAGGGAGCGUAGGCGGGACUGCAAGUUGGGUGUCAAAUCUACCGGCUCAACCGGUAGCCGCACUCAAAACUGCAGUUCUUGAGUGAAGUAGAGGCAGGCGGAAUUCCUAGUGUAGCGGUGAAAUGCGUAGAUAUUAGGAGGAACACCAGUGGCGAAGGCGGCCUGCUGGGCUUUUACUGACGCUGAGGCUCGAAAGUGUGGGGAGCAAACAGGAUUAGAUACCCGAGUAGUC
rnacentral:rRNA from 1 species